rnacentral:rRNA from 1 species
CCCUGCAUUCUGGGACAAGCCUUGGAAACGAGGUCUAAUACCGGAUACGACGCAUCUCCGCAUGGAGUGUGCGUGGAAAGCUCCGGCGAUGCAGGAUGAGCCCGCGGCCUAUCAGCUUGUUGGUGGGGUAAUGGCCUACCAAGGCGACGAUCGGUAGCUGGUCUGAGAGGAUGAUCAGCCACACUGGGACUGAGACACGGCCCAG